UGUAAUUUUGAAUGAUUUUAACUUUAUUCACUUACGUCCUGUAGAACGCGGCACUAACUUAAAAGCAGCACCCACUCGACACGAACGAAGAAACGUGUUCACUUCGCCGUUUUCAUUCAUCAGAUUCGAAACGAAGACGUAUCAUCGCAUUGAAACGUAGAAGAACUGUAACAACUGGUGCGGAGCGAGUGAAAUGCAUCCGUUUGAGCGAGGCUGGACACAAAGUUAAAAAGAUCCAGCAGACACUCGGAGUCAGAAAGAUACAAAUCUACAAAACUUUAAAAUACAAUGCAUCGAUUCAACUCCUAAUGCAAAUGGAAACAAAAAUCCUUCAGUAUGCACAAGAAUUACCAGACAUGUGAUCAACGGGACAGUGACUUGCAACUAGCAAGAAAACUGUAUGACACGCAGGCAAACAUUGUCAUAAACCAAAUAAUGCAUCCAACAAAACAAUACAAAAUACAUAUUUUUUUCCCAAGACAGAAAAAAAUAAACAUUAAAAUACUGUACGUAUUUUACUGUUGUGAUUUUUUUUGGGGGGGGAUACACCUGUAUUGCAGUUUUUGUUAUAUAAACAGUUUUUGGACAGUA